AGAGUUUGAUCCUGGCUCAGAGCGAACGCUGGCGGCAGGCUUAACACAUGCAAGUCGAACGCCAUCUUCGGAUGGAGUGGCAGACGGGUGAGUAACGCGUGGGAACGUACCCUUUGGUUCGGACAAUUCUCGGGAAACUGGGAGCAAUACCGGAUAAGCCCUACGGGGGAAAGAUUUAUCGCCAAAGGAGCGGCCCGCGUCAGAUUACGGAGUUGGUGGGGUAAAGGCCUACCAAGCCUACGAUCUGUAGCUGGUCUGAGAGGAUGAUCAGCCACACUGGGACUGAGACACGGGCCAGACUCCUACGGGAGGCAGCAGUGGGGAAUCUUGGACAAUGGGCGCAAGCCUGAUCCAGACAUGCCGCGUGGAUGAUGAAGGCCUUAGGGUUGUAAAAUCCUUUCAACGGGGACGAUAAUGACGGUACCCGUAGAAGAAGCCCCGGCUAACUUCGUGCCAGCAGCCGCGGUAAUACGAAGGGGGCUAGCGAUGCUCAGAAUUACUGGUCAUAAAGCGCACGUAGGCGGAUAUUUAAGUCGGAGGUGAAAGCCCAAGG
rnacentral:rRNA from 1 species